AUUGAACGCUGGCGGCAGGCUUAACACAUGCAAGUCGGACGGUAGCACAGAGAGCUUGCUCUUGGGUGACGAGUGGCGGACGGGUGAGUAAUGUCUGGGGAUCUGCCCGAUAGAGGGGGAUAACCACUGGAAACGGUGGCUAAUACCGCAUAACGUCGCAAGACCAAAGAGGGGGACCUUCGGGCCUCUCACUAUCGGAUGAACCCAGAUGGGAUUAGCUAGUAGGCGGGGUAAUGGCCCACCUAGGCGACGAUCCCUAGCUGGUCUGAGAGGAUGACCGGCCACACGGGAACUGAGACACGGUCCAGACUCCUACGGGAGGCAGCAGUGGGGAAUAUUGCAAAAUGGGCGCAAGCCUGAUGCAGCCAUGCCGCGUGUAUGAAGAAGGCCUUCGGGUUGUAAAGUACUUUCAGCGGGGAGGAAGGCGGCAAGGUUAAUAACCUUGCCGAUUGACGUUACCCGCAGAAGAAGCACCGGCUAACUCCGUGCCAGCCGCCGCCGUAA
rnacentral:rRNA from 1 species